AAAUCGUACCCCAAACCGACACAGGUGGUCAGGUAGAGAAUACCAAGGCGCUUGAGAGAACUCGGGUGAAGGAACUAGGCAAAAUGGUGCCGUAACUUCGGGAGAAGGCACGCUGAUAUGUAGGUGAGGUCCCUCGCGGAUGGAGCUGAAAUCAGUCGAAGAUACCAGCUGGCUGCAACUGUUUAUUAAAAACACAGCACUGUGCAAACACGAAAGUGGACGUAUACGGUGUGACGCCUGCCCGGUGCCGGAAGG
rnacentral:rRNA from 1 species